rnacentral:rRNA from 14 species
AGCCCGGAGAUAGCUGGUUCUCCUCGAAAACUAUUUAGGUAGUGCCUCGCGUUUGACUGCUGGGGGUAGAGCACUGUGUCGGCUAGGGGGUCAUCCCGACUUACCAACCCCAUGCAAACUCCGAAUACCCAGGAGUACAAUCACGGCAGGCAGACAGCGGGUGCUAACGUCCGUUGUCGAGAGGGCAACAACCCAGACCGCCAGCUAAGGUCCCAAAGAUUGGCUAAGUGGAAAACGAAGUGGGAAGGCUAAAACAGUCAGGAUGUUGGCUUAGAAGCAGCCAUCAUUUAAAGAAAGCGUAAUAGCUCACUAGUCGAGUCGGCCUGCGCGGAAGAUGUAACGGGGCUAAGCAAUAUACCGAAGCUGCGGAUUUGACCUUAGGGUCAAGUGGUAGGGGAGCGUUGUGUAAGUGGAUGAAGGUGGAUUGAGAAGUCUGCUGGACAUAUCACAAGUGCGAAUGCUGACAUGAGUAACGAUAAUGGGAGUGAAAAACUCCCACGCCGGAAGACCAAGGUUUCCUAUCCCAUGCUAAUCAGGGUAGGGUAAGUCGGCCCCUAAGGCGAGGCGGAAACGCGUAGUCGAUGGGAAACGGAUUAAUAUUUCCGUACUUGUUAUAUCAGUGAAGGGGGGACGGAGAAGGUUAUGCUAGCUUGGCGUUGGUUGUCCAAGUGAAAGUGCGUAGGGUUGAUUUUUAGGAAAAUCCGGAAAUCUACAUGCCUGAGACACGAGACGAGACACUACGGUGUUGAAGUAGCAAAUACCCUGCUUCCAGGAAAAGCCUCUAAACUUAUGAUAUAGCGAACCGUACCCCAAACCGACACAGGUGGUCAGGUAGAGAAUACUAAGGCGCUUGAGAGAACUCGGGUGAAGGAACUCGGCA